ACAUUUUGCAAGGUGCUGCAUGGUUGUCGUCAGCUCGUGCCGUGAGGUGUCGGGUUAAGUCCCAUAACGAGCGCAACCCCUAUUGUUAGUUGCCAUCAGGUCAUGCUGGGGACUCUAACAAAACUGCCCGCGUAAGCGUGGAGGAAGGUGGGGAUGACGUCAAAUCAGCACGGCCCUUACGUCCAGGGCUACACACGUGCUACAAUGGCCGGUACAGAGGGCAGCCACUUGGUGAUAAGGAGCAAAUCUCAAAAGCCGGUCUCAGUUCGGAUCGGAGUCUGCAACUCGACUCCGUGAAGUUGGAUUCGCUAGUAAUCGUAGAUCAGCAAUGCUACGGUGAAUACGUUCCCGGGCCUU
rnacentral:rRNA from 1 species